rnacentral:lncRNA from 1 species
AGAGCUUGACUGGUUCGGGUUUUGACACGAACAUGUUUGUUGCUAUGUGGCAACACAACAGGUCAUUCUUUAGGGGAUUUUUUUUAUCUGGGCAAUGUAUCAACGCUGAUAUACACUCAGUUACUCACUAACUCACUGAAUUUUUUUCCCCUUUAUGCUUUUGUUGUUUGGUUUCGUGUGCAAAUUUAGUCAAUAACCUGGCAUUUAUACAAGGAAUUUUUUGUUUAUCGUUAGUUAUGGUCACUAUAUCACUUUCAUUUGCUGAGUGCUAAUGUGGAUUUGAUUUUUGUGUCAUAUGGAAACUGUUUGGAUUUUCUGUGUUUCUGUAAUGAGAAAUACGAUAGAAAAAUGCAAAACAAACUUAUAGACUUAUUGUGGUUCAAAUCAAGUUGGUUAAUGUUAUUUGUCAGUAAAAAAGAAGAGAAAAAGGAUAUGCAUGGUCAACUCUGCGUUCUUUUUUGGAAUACCAUUCAUAUUGACCUUUUUCUGCCUUUCAGUUCUUAGCAAACUUGUUAAGUAUAGGAAAAAGCAAAGCCUUUUAUGCAAAAAGAUUGAAUAUGGCCCAAGAUUUGCUAAGUAUUAAGAAACAAGAUCAGUGACUAGCUACUUGGGCCAUAUUCAAUAUAUUUGUAUAAAGUUUCUAUGGAUUCUACAAUGCACUACUGAUUUUUCCCAAACAGAAUCUUAUAUUCCCUUUUCUGACAUUUCAAAUAUGUCGUUACUAACUAUCACUGUUGCUGAAUAUGAUUGUUUCCUUGCCUAUUCAUCCCCCACUGCCUCCAUUUCAAAUUUUUCUUUUCCCUCUUCUUACUCUAGAUAAUGAUCAUUAUGUACUGAGCUUUAAUUUUAAUAUCACUUCUAUUAAUAAGUUCACUAGCUCUCUUAAUUGUUGUGUUAGCUUUAAUAACAUUGUUGUUAACUAUUGUGCUUAAUUGGAUAACAGAACAGAUGAUUGGAGCAAGGAGUGAGUUGUAGGGGAUUUAUUAUAUAUAUUUGCCAUCAUCUUCUGCUGCAUUUAGCUUUUCUCUCUCACCUUUUUUAGUUGUUACUUUCUAAUGCUUUGUCAUCCUUGGAGUGUGCAUUGUGUUAACUUUGAAAAACAUAUUUUCUAGUUUGUUUCUAAAGUGCACCAUUGAUAAGGCUUUGUUCCUCUCUGAGUUAGUUCAUAUAGAUGCUUGGGGGGUCCAUGCAAGUUUAGUUUCUACUACUUUGGGUUUCCAACAUUUUCAAUCUUCUGUUGAUGAUUUAUCCAAAUGCACAUAUAUGGUUACUUUCAAUAAAAUCACCAUCUAUCAGCCUUGCAUUAUUCUAUUAAAAGGGUGUUAUAGUAAUGAUAAUUCUGGACUGGAGUGUGGGAAAGGUGGGGGUUUGAUACAAGUAAUCUUAUCAGAUUUUGUUAGUUAAUAUUUCUCAUACACCAGAGUGAGUUUUUUUGUUUUUCUCCUUAUUAUGAUUUUGAUGGGCUUAUAUGUUAUUAAGCAUUGUAGGUGUUGAUUUUAAGAUCAAAACACUCACAAUAGAGUCAAAUCUUGUGCUUUCUGUUCUUGAAAUUAGACCUUUUGUUUAAACCCAGCAGCAUGUGAUUAGCACAGAUAGAAUGAAAUGUCUCUCAUGUAGUGUUGUGGUUAUUCUUUGACCAAAGUGACUAAUUUAAGUGGUAUAUUGACUAAACAUAACAUUACAUCUAUUGCAGCAGGGCAGGAAAGGUUCAGAACUCUCAUUGCAACUGAUUUGUGAGAAAUGGACUUCACUUCUAGCACUUUCACGUGUAAAGUAUAAUCAUAAAAUUAUUAAAAUGUCCAUUUUCAGCACCAUGAUCAUUUUACUAUGCGUGUGUUGGGUUCUACAUCUGUUUCCCACCAAAAUCAUGUCAAAUACACCUGUCAUGGGCGAGGAAACGUAGAAUCGAACACAAGCUAGGCUAG